rnacentral:lncRNA from 1 species
AAGGCCUGAAACAAAAGAAGAGUGAGCACACUGCCAAGCACAGCCAAGGCAGUUGGGACAAGAUUUCCUUUCGCAAGGAGCCUGGUGGGUAACGAUGGUGUGCUGCUGAGAAGGCUCUUACACAGACAGCAUAGGUCUGCUGUUACCAGGCCUGCAGAGGGAAGCCCUGGUGGAAGCACCACCUAGCCUGAGAACAUCUACAGAGACAUUUCAUCCUCUCUGACCCAAAACAAAAUAAACACCACAAAGUGAACCAACACAAGCAGGAAGACCGGACUUAACAAACAAGUAUGUCUACAUUUGACUGUUUACGUCAAGUGAAUUGAGAGUGUGGCGUAAAAUUACUACAGAUUUUGUCAUGGUAUUUUUCAAUGAGAAAUCUGAGAAUCCAUCUUUGCACUUGUUUUUGCCUCAGCCGUUCACUAAGUUUGCUGCCAAAACAGACAUC